GGUUAAGCGACUAAGCGUACACGGUGGAUGCCCUGGCAGUCAGAGGCGAUGAAGGACGUGCUAAUCUGCGAUAAGCGUCGGUAAGGUGAUAUGAACCGUUAUAACCGGCGAUUUCCGAAUGGGGAAACCCAGUGUGUUUCGACACACUAUCAUUAACUGAAUCCAUAGGUUAAUGAGGCGAACCGGGGGAACUGAAACAUCUAAGUACCCCGAGGAAAAGAAAUCAACCGAGAUUCCCCCAGUAGCGGCGAGCGAACGGGGAGCAGCCCAGAGCCUGAAUCAGUGUGUGUGUUAGUGGAAGCGUCUGGAAAGGCGCGCGAUACAGGGUGACAGCCCCGUACACAAAAAUGCACAUGCUGUGAGCUCGAUGAGUAGGGCGGGACACGUGGUAUCCUGUCUGAAUAUGGGGGGACCAUCCUCCAAGGCUAAAUACUCCUGACUGACCGAUAGUGAACCAGUACCGUGAGGGAAAGGCGAAAAGAACCCCGGCGAGGGGAGUGAAAAAGAACCUGAAACCGUGUACGUACAAGCAGUGGGAGCACGCUUAGGCGUGUGACUGCGUACCUUUUGUAUAAUGGGUCAGCGACUUAUAUUCUGUAGCAAGGUUAACCGAAUAGGGGAGCCGAAGGGAAACCGAGUCUUAACUGGGCGUUAAGUUGCAGGGUAUAGACCCGAAACCCGGUGAUCUAGCCAUGGGCAGGUUGAAGGUUGGGUAACACUAACUGGAGGACCGAACCGACUAAUGUUGAAAAAUUAGCGGAUGACUUGUGGCUGGGGGUGAAAGGCCAAUCAAACCGGGAGAUAGCUGGUUCUCCCCGAAAGCUAUUUAGGUAGCGCCUCGUGAAUUCAUCUCCGGGGGUAGAGCACUGUUUCGGCAAGGGGGUCAUCCCGACUUACCAACCCGAUGCAAACUGCGAAUACCGGAGAAUGUUAUCACGGGAGACACACGGCGGGUGCUAACGUCCGUCGUGAAGAGGGAAACAACCCAGACCGCCAGCUAAGGUCCCAAAGUCAUGGUUAAGUGGGAAACGAUGUGGGAAGGCCCAGACAGCCAGGAUGUUGGCUUAGAAGCAGCCAUCAUUUAAAGAAAGCGUAAUAGCUCACUGGUCGAGUCGGCCUGCGCGGAAGAUGUAACGGGGCUAAACCAUGCACCGAAGCUGCGGCAGCGACACUAUGUGUUGUUGGGUAGGGGAGCGUUCUGUAAGCCUGUGAAGGUGUACUGUGAGGUAUGCUGGAGGUAUCAGAAGUGCGAAUGCUGACAUAAGUAACGAUAAAGCGGGUGAAAAGCCCGCUCGCCGGAAGACCAAGGGUUCCUGUCCAACGUUAAUCGGGGCAGGGUGAGUCGACCCCUAAGGCGAGGCCGAAAGGCGUAGUCGAUGGGAAACAGGUUAAUAUUCCUGUACUUGGUGUUACUGCGAAGGGGGGACGGAGAAGGCUAUGUUGGCCGGGCGACGGUUGUCCCGGUUUAAGCGUGUAGGCUGGUUUUCCAGGCAAAUCCGGAAAAUCAAGGCUGAGGCGUGAUGACGAGGCACUACGGUGCUGAAGCAACAAAUGCCCUGCUUCCAGGAAAAGCCUCUAAGCAUCAGGUAACAUCAAAUCGUACCCCAAACCGACACAGGUGGUCAGGUAGAGAAUACCAAGGCGCUUGAGAGAACUCGGGUGAAGGAACUAGGCAAAAUGGUGCCGUAACUUCGGGAGAAGGCACGCUGAUACGUAGGUGAAGUCCCUCGCGGAUGGAGCUGAAAUCAGUCGAAGAUACCAGCUGGCUGCAACUGUUUAUUAAAAACACAGCACUGUGCAAACACGAAAGUGGACGUAUACGGUGUGACGCCUGCCCGGUGCCGGAAGGUUAAUUGAUGGGGUCAGCGCAAGCGAAGCUCUUGAUCGAAGCCCCGGUAAACGGCGGCCGUAACUAUAACGGUCCUAAGGUAGCGAAAUUCCUUGUCGGGUAAGUUCCGACCUGCACGAAUGGCGUAAUGAUGGCCAGGCUGUCUCCACCCGAGACUCAGUGAAAUUGAACUCGCUGUGAAGAUGCAGUGUACCCGCGGCAAGACGGAAAGACCCCGUGAACCUUUACUAUAGCUUGACACUGAACAUUGAGCCUUGAUGUGUAGGAUAGGUGGGAGGCUUUGAAGUGUGGACGCCAGUCUGCAUGGAGCCGACCUUGAAAUACCACCCUUUAAUGUUUGAUGUUCUAACGUGGACCCGUAAUCCGGGUUGCGGACAGUGUCUGGUGGGUAGUUUGACUGGGGCGGUCUCCUCCUAAAGAGUAACGGAGGAGCACGAAGGUUGGCUAAUCCUGGUCGGACAUCAGGAGGUUAGUGCAAUGGCAUAAGCCAGCUUGACUGCGAGCGUGACGGCGCGAGCAGGUGCGAAAGCAGGUCAUAGUGAUCCGGUGGUUCUGAAUGGAAGGGCCAUCGCUCAACGGAUAAAAGGUACUCCGGGGAUAACAGGCUGAUACCGCCCAAGAGUUCAUAUCGACGGCGGUGUUUGGCACCUCGAUGUCGGCUCAUCACAUCCUGGGGCUGAAGUAGGUCCCAAGGGUAUGGCUGUUCGCCAUUUAAAGUGGUACGCGAGCUGGGUUUAGAACGUCGUGAGACAGUUCGGUCCCUAUCUGCCGUGGGCGCUGGAGAACUGAGGGGGGCUGCUCCUAGUACGAGAGGACCGGAGUGGACGCAUCACUGGUGUUCGGGUUGUCAUGCCAAUGGCACUGCCCGGUAGCUAAAUGCGGAAGAGAUAAGUGCUGAAAGCAUCUAAGCACGAAACUUGCCCCGAGAUGAGUUCUCCCUGACCCUUUAAGGGUCCUGAAGGAACGUUGAAGACGACGACGUUGAUAGGCCGGGUGUGUAAGCGCAGCGAUGCGUUGAGCUAACCGGUACUAAUGAACCGUGAGGCUUAACCUU
rnacentral:rRNA from 1 species